AAAGUCGUAACAAGGUCUCCGUUGGUGAACCAGCGGAGGGAUCAUUAAAAGAAGCCGAAAGGCUACUUCAAACCAUCGCGAACUCAUCCAAGUUGCUUCGGCGGGAACCCGCGCCUCUCCGGAGGUUGUGGGACCGCCCGCCGGAGGUCACAAACUCUCAUGUAUUAUAGUGGCAUCUCUGAGUAAAACACAAAUAAGUUAAAACUUUCAACAACGGAUCUCUUGGUUCUG
rnacentral:misc_RNA from 2 species